rnacentral:rRNA from 1 species
AUACCGGAUAAGACCACGGGACUUAAGUCCUGAGGUUGAAGGCGGGCAGAAAUGCCUGUCACUCGUAGAUGAGCCCGCGUCCCAUCAGCUAGUUGGUGAGGUAAGAGCUCACCAAGGCAAAGACGGGUAGCUGGUCUGAGAGGACGAUCAGCCACACUGGCACUGAAACACGGGCCAGACUCCUACGGGAGGCAGCAGUGGGGAAUUUUGCGCAAUGGGCGAAAGCCUGACGCAGCGACGCCGCGUGAGGGAAGAAGGUCUUCGGAUCGUAAACCUCUGUCGGAGGGGAAGAAACUCCAGGGUGCUAAUACCAUCUUGGAUUGACGGUACCCUCUGAGGAAGCAUCGGCUAACUACGUGCCAGCAGCCGCGGUAA